rnacentral:lncRNA from 1 species
AUGGGAGGUGUCCCUGAAGGGAACAGCAAUCAAAGCCUUUAUCUGAGACUCAGAGGCAAGGGGAAUCUCGAUAUCCUGCCCAGAAACGAUAGAAAUGGUGCUAUUGAGAGGAGAAAAGAAAAGAAUUGGAAUUCCACCUGGGGUGAUAAAAGCAAUCUCAGGUUACCCAUAAAUGACGUGAGUAUAAUUUGGCUUUGUGUGUGUAAGGCGUGUUCUGGCAUCCUGUUGGGCACUGGCCAUGGGGUGCAUUGCUGCAGGCCCCUGAGCAGCCGGGAGCGGGGAGCCCUUCUCCACGGGCAGCUCCUCCAGAGGCUUCACCUCCAGUGCUGCUGCGGCAUCUGGCCCGGCUCGCUGCAGCUGGGAGAUGAAAAUUCCCGUGCUCACACUGCCUGUGAGCAUUUUAUUGAUGGUUGCCUAUUCUGAGGGCCGGCACAGCCCCAUGAGGAGCUCUCAAGGUCAGCCCAGGAGGGCUCCGAGGUCUGGCCUCACUCAGGGAGGCGAUUGCUGCAUCACAGUGCACGGGGCGCAGGAGAUGAGCUUUGCUCGCAGGCUCCAAGACAGGAACAGAAAGGAGGUGAGAGGGGAAGAACCCACCCCUAUAAUUAGCUGUGUAAUUAAGCUUCCUCUUGGGCAGGGAGCGCUGGGCCAGUUCUGCCUCCCAUGAAUUGCGGUGACACCUCCGUCACCUCUCACUUAAGAGAAACAAAUCGGUGCCCAGAAGGCUUUCUCCAACAGGGGACUCGGAUACAAAAACAAUUCUUGUUGCAGGCUUAGCAAGUGUAUUUGGGGUUAAAAUGGAUGGAUUUAGCCACUGAUAUGGGAUAGGGGAUUGCCUAGUGAUGCAUGAGGUCCCAACGGGGAAGAGAGAAAGUCUGAAACAAAGCAAAAGUAAUUAAAUAGAGGCAGAGCAGGCAGCACUUCUGCGCUUGAUAAUCUAUGCAAACUACAAGGGUUCUUGUUCGGACAAUCAAUAAACCAGCCCGUUUCAUUUUAUUUUUGUGUGGU